CAUUUUCCUCUUCAACCUUCUAUUCUUCAUUCUGCCACAUUCUCUCUCUAUCUCUUUCUCUUUCUCUGCUCCUCAACUCAUCCAUUAUCACUCUCAUUUAUCUCACAUGGUCAUUUUGUUUUUCUUUUUCUCCUCCAUCAUCUACUACUGUUAUGAUUUAUCAAGUUUUUUGCCUUGAAAUCAAAUAGGAACAAAAAUGGAAAUGAAAAUGAAGAGGAACAUAGUAGUGAACCAAACACAUAUUUCUUCUACGAGUUUCGAUGCCUUAAAAAAGAGUGACGGUCAAAGUAAGUUGGAUGAAACAAAAUCAACAUUCCACAGAUCCACCAGAUCUUGAGCGAUUAGAUGAAACAAAGCACAACAUUAACGAAUACUUUAACAUAUCCAGUUCAGAUGCAAUUAUGGAUAUUAAAACCAGUUCAGUCAAAGAUGCAGUAUUCGCCCAGAAACACGGUGUGGUGCUAAUUGAAAUCAGUUUAAAGAAUUAUUUUCUUAUCAGCUAAAGUUGAUUUUCCUACUUUAUAUCCUAGCUGUUUUCUUUUUCAAACUUGACUAAAGCAAAAACUGACAAACUUCCUGCUUAUUGGGACUGCAACACCUUAUCAAUUCAGCUAGAUAGUCCAACUGAAC